AGCGAACGCUGGCGGCAGGCCUAACACAUGCCAGUCGAACGGAUCCUUCGGGAUUAGUGGCGGACGGGUGAGUAACACGUGGGAACGUGCCCUUUGGUUCGGAACAACUCAGGGAAACUUGAGCUAAUACCGGAUGUGCCCUUCGGGGGAAAGAUUUAUCGCCGUUGGAGCGGCCCGCGUCUGAUUAGCUAGUUGGUGAGGUAACGGCCCACCAAGGCGACGAUCAGUAGCUGGUCUGAGAGGAUGAUCAGCCACACUGGGACUGAGACACGGCCCAGACUCCUACGGGAGGCAGCAGUGGGGAAUCUUGCGCAAUGGGCGAAAGCCUGACGCAGCCAUGCCGCGUGAAUGAUGAAGGUCUUAGGAUUGUAAAAUUCUUUCAGCGGGGACGAUAAUGACGGUACCCGCAGAAGAAGCUCCGGCUAACUUCGUG
rnacentral:rRNA from 1 species